UGAGUCCACAAAACAACUCGGUUUCCCAGCAAACCUACGGGCAGAUUGACGCGUGCGUAAUCAAAGCUCUUUUUUUUCGUGUUUCCCGGUUGACUCAACUUUGAUAUUUUGGUAACCGAUUGGCUGACAGGUUCAGCCGGCCGGGCAACGUCAGCAGGGAAACGUGGCAGCUUGGGCGAGCCGUUGAUUUCUCCAGACAGGAUAGGGAGAAAGCGGGGCAGCGGCGAAGGGAGGGAAAAGCGACGCCAGCUAUUUUGUGGGCGGAGCGAUCGCGUGGAAUUGGAAUUUGAACGGAGGUGUGUCUCUGGAAAUACCAAGAGCAACGAAGAAAGCAGAGGGAGCACCUCCAUGAAAUAAAAGCAAGGCAUCAGGAGGAGCUGGCGGAAAAGAAUGCCAGAAUAACGGCUGAGUCAGUCAUUUCCCUUACAAGCCUGUCUUAAGCUUCUCUUUUGGUCUGCUUAUUUCUAUUCUAUGACUGAUGUAUGCUUCUGGUAAUUUUUAUGUCUUAAUUGGAAGAAGAAAAUAAAGCGCUUGCCAGCAAUUUAGCAUGUAUUGUAGAGGAAAACAACGAGAUUAAAAAGAAACUCCAAAAAGUUGAAGAGAGGUUUGCCCAGCUGACCCCUGACACCGCAAUUUUAAUAGAGUGGCUGAGGGAAUGGGAGAUGGAGGCAAUGGAGGAGGAAGAAGAGAUGAGCUCCCAGAUACACCUAUUCACAAACAUUUGACCAACAUAGACAAAGAUGAGAUGCCAAAAGUGAAAUAAUCAUAAUGACAGGCUGUUGUUUCAUAGCAGAUUUACAUAGGAGUUAUGCAAAAAGAAAGAAAGAAAGAAAGAAAGAAAGAAAGAAAGAAAGAAAGAAAGAAAGAAAGAAAAAUUUUCUCUGAUUUUUUCCAGUUUUUUUUUUCUGAGAAUUCAAUUAAGAAUCCAAGAAGACAACAAAAUGAUCAAAAUACUUCCCUACCAACAAUCAACAUUCACAUGAACAAGAUUAACAUCAAACCAACAAUCGAGUAAACAAUGUUCCAGUCAAGGAACUGCCAAACAAGCUAACAGUAAACAGCCCAGCCAAAGAAGGUCACACAAACCUACUACAAAGAACUGCACGACAAAGUAGCCCCAGGGGUGCAUUGCAAGAUCCACAAGAAAUACCAUUUGCCUGCAAGCAAGAACUGGUGGGACUAUAAAAUAGAAAAUGAAGAAGCUAAAGUGUUCUGGGAGUUUAGAAUCCAAAAAGACAGACACCUGCCAUAUAACAAGCCAACUGUCAAUAAGAAAAGACAAAAAAAGUCUAGACAGUGGACUGGGCAGUACUGGAAACAGCAGACUAGAGAAGAAGGAGAAACUAAAAAUACAUAUACAGAAGAAGGGGUAAGACCAAGAGAACAGAGACAAAUAAGAUUGACUAGAAGAUUAAAACCUAGAUAUAAUUGAAAGAGAUGGGCAGAUCAUAAUCCAAUAAAGAUGACUUGGAGAGGAACCAAGAAAAAAUUAAGAUGGUCCCUGAACAAAUCUAUAUUGAAAGAAAAAGAAUUUAUACAACUAACGACAAAGGAAAUGGACUUUGUCAAAAAAGUUAAGAAAGGAUAUCACUUUUAAAUAUGUGGGAUACAGCUAAAGCAUAUUUUAGAGGGCUGGCUAUAACUUAUACUGCUAAAAAGAACAAAGAAAACAACAACAGUUAAAGCUGAAGGAAGAAUUUAGGAAAUUAGAAUUAGAAUUACAAAUAGACCCACAAAAGAAAAUACUUAAAAAGCAAAUGGAAAUAUUAAAACAUAAAUUAAACCUUGUAGAGGCGGAAACAAUGGCUUAACAAAUUAAAAGGGCUAAACAGAACUUCUUUGAAAAUGCUAACAAACUGGGAAGAUGGUUAGCACAUAAACUGAAAAAA